GGGGUGAAAGGUACGGGGGAGUCUCCUUAUGACCCCAGAGAGUGCAGGUCAGGGUGUGUGGGCGGGGCCCUGUCCUUGGGAAGGUCACCCCGGUGCCCCCUGCCGCCCCUCCUGUUCUCAGGGCUUACGUCCCCCCGGCUCCACCAGCGCUGGGGGGGGGGGGGGGGGGACCGGCGGGCAUGUGUGGGGCCAGCGCCUCCGCCUCCCUGAGAGCAGAUCGGCCUGGCAGGUGCAGUGGCUGUUGGCCCCGCAUAGGGGUCCCCAAACAUUAAAAUCGACGGGCGUAAGCAGAGAAGGGCCUUCUGGCUGAACCGAAGAGGGGCAUGAGCCGGCGACGCGCGGGGGCAGAGCCGGCCCGAGAUGCACACUGAGGGAAGGCCGCUCUUAACACACUUCUCUGUGCGACCUUGCACGUCACCGGGCCCCACCUGACGGCUCCCGGAGCAUGAGUCCGCGUGAGCUCACCCCGCGCUGCUGCAGCGCGGGGCUGUGCGUGCUGCUCACGUCACGGCCGCAGUGACAGGGCUGGGGGGUUGGGUAACCUGCGUGCGACGGUGACCACCGGGAUCCUUCGGGGACCUUGGCAAAGGGCUGUCCCCAGAGGGCAAGGCCAAGCAAACGGUUCCGUGAGUCUCCAACUAUUCCGUCACCUCCCGGUGUGUGAACCAGCCUUCGGGGUGUCCACGGUCCUCUGAAAUGCCACUGCGCAUCUCUGCAAGGCCGAACGCGGCAAGGAAGAGGCUGUUGCAAGAAAGAGCCACGUGUGAAGUCUCGCUUUCAAAGCAGCUCACCUCCUAGCCACCAUUGUGGCUCACCAUCCCGAGCGGCGGGUUCCUGGUGCAACACGGCAGGCAGUGUGGCGAUUCUCAAAGUGGGGUCCCGGACACCCUGCCGGGGCCCGCUUUGGCGCUAAUCCCAAGACCCUGUGCGUCCACUCGUGCUACCAUGAACGCACGGCGGAGUCACGGGGCUGUGGACGCGUGAUCACACGAGAACCCGGCAGGACGGAGCCCACCCCUCAUCUCUGAUUUGUUGGUUUUAGCAAAUACCGUUAUUUUUCAUUAAAAACAUGUUAACGUGA